CCUACGGGAGGCAGCAGUGGGGAAUAUUGCACAAUGGGCGAAAGCCUGACGCAGCCAUGCCGCGUGAGGGAAGAAGGUCUUCGGAUCGUAAAGUUCUGUCAGCAGGGAAGAACGGAGUCUGUUUUAAACAUUAGUGAAUUGACGGUACCCGCAAAGGAAGCACCGGCUAACUCCGUGCCAGCAGCCGCGGUAAUACGGAGGGUGCGAGCGUUAAUCGGAAUUACUGGGCGUAAAGCGCACGCAGGCGGUUUGUUAAGUCAAAGGUGAAAUCCCCGGGCUCAACGUGGGAACUGCCUUUGAAACUGGCAAGCUGGAGUGUGGGAGAGGAUGGUAGAAUUCCAGGUGUAGGAGUGAAAUCCGU
rnacentral:rRNA from 1 species